rnacentral:misc_RNA from 1 species
GGCAAGUGUUCUGGAAGUGUCAGAUCCAUUGCUAGGCAUCCAGAACUACCUCUGAUAGCCUCGUGUGGACUGGACAGAUAUGUGCGAUUCUGGGAUACAAAAACAAGACAACUUCUUUCGGCGGUCUUCCUCAAGCAGCAUCUCACUAAUGUAAUGAUUGAUUCACAUUUCUCCGCCGAAGAAGUUUCAGUAGCUUGUGAUAGACCGGACAAUCUGCAGGAUCAUACCAAAGUCAUUGAAAAUGAUGAAGAAUCACCCCUCUUUGAAGGAACAAGAACAGCUACUAAGAGGAAGGAGUCUAGCAAGACCAAGACCAAGAAAAGCAAGAAGGAAGUCCAAGAAGC